rnacentral:rRNA from 1 species
GAUGAACGCUGGCGGCGCGCCUAACACAUGCAAGUCGAACGGUUAAAGCACCUUCGGGUGCACAUAGAGUGGCGAACGGCUGAGUAACACGUGGGCAACCUGCCCCCCUCAUCGGGACAGCCUCGGGAAACCGUGGUUAAUACCGAAUACUCCGGGCCCCCCGCAUGGGGGGCCCGGGAAAGCUCCGGCGGAGGGGGAUGGGCCCGCGGCCUGUUAGCUAGUUGGUGGGGCAACGGCCCACCAAGGCAAUUAUGGGUAGCUGGGUUGAGAGACCGACCAGCCAGAUUGGGACUGAGACACGGCCCAGACUCCUACGGGAGGCAGCAGUGGGGAAUCUUGCACAAUGGGCGAAAGCCUGAUGCAGCGACGCCGCGUGCGGGAUGAAGGCCUUCGGGUUGUAAACCGCUUUCAGCAGGGACGAGGCCGCGAGGUGACGGUACCUGCAGAAGAAGCCCCGGCUAACUACGUG